rnacentral:tRNA from 1 species
GCGGGUGUAGCUCAGUUGGUAGAGCCUCAGUUUUCCAAACUGAAUGUCGCCGGUUCGAGCCCGGUCGCCCGCUCCA